GUGAAACCGCGAAUGGCUCAUUAAAUCACACCUAAUCUACUGGAAUGUUAGCAGUUACUUGGAUAACUGAGGUAAUUCUUGAGCUAAUACAUGCGAAAAAUCUCGACGCAAGGAGAGAUGCUUUUAUUAGAUCAAAACCAAACGGUCUCGACCGUCUAUUUGGUGACUCGGAAUAACUUUGGGCUGAUCGCAUUGCCUUGUGCAGGCGACGUUUCCUUCGAAGGUGUGCCCUAUCAACUGUCGACUGUGAUAUAGACGCUCACAGUGGUUUUGACGGGUAACGGGGAAUCAGGGUUCGAUUCCGGAGAGGGAGCCUUAGAAACGGCUACCACAUCCAAGGAAGGCAGCAGGCACGCAAAUUACCCAAUGAACGAAGUUCGAGGUAGUGACGAAAAAUAACAAUACAAGACUCUUCCGAGGCCUUGUAAUUGGAAUGAGUACACUUUAAAACCGUUCCCGAGGAUCUAUUGGAGGGCAAGUCUGGUGCCAGCAGCCGCGGUAAUUCCAGCUCCAAUAGCGUAUAUUAAAGUUGUUGUGGUUAAAAAGCUCGUAGUUGGAUUUCGGCGGGCAUUGGUUGGUUUGAAUUGUUUCAACACUGACUAUUUUGCCCGUGUGUUUUGCCAGAAUUUAACGGGUGCUCUUCGCCGAGUGUCUGUUAGAGCUGGCAGGUUUACUUUGAAAAAAUUAGAGUGCUCAAAGCAAGCUUAAUCGCUUGAAUAUUCGUGCAUGGAAUAAUAGAAUAGGAAGUCGUUUCUAUUUUGUUGGUUUUCGGAAAUCGACUUAAUGAUUAAUAGGGACAGUCGGGGGCAUUUGUAUUCAAACGACAGAGGUGAAAUUCUUGGACCGUUUGAAGACAAACUACUGCGAAAGCAUUUGCCAAGAAUGUUUUCAUUAAUCAAGAACGAAAG
rnacentral:rRNA from 1 species